CACCGCCCUCUGUAUGCUGCCGCCCAUCGUCUUCUUCACGAUGUCAGAUCACCUCGUAGGCGCCCUUCCUCGCGCACGUUUGCCAUCUAUUUGCCCAAAGAUGAUCUGCUUCUCCAGACUGUGCUUCGGAGACCGCAUAAUAUGUCCGAAGAAGCUUAGGGCACGAUUCCGGCAUAUUGAGGAGAGCCGCGUCGUGAUCUUGAGCUCUUUUAAUAUGGACUCAUUCGUACACGUAAAAAGCCUUAAAUUACCAAGUAGAGAAAGUCCGGCAUGAGGUGAGCACGAAGUUUUGAAGACAGGAGUGAUUGUAUUAGAUUUCCUCCUGAGCAGUUGCACUACAAAUUUAGUGAUGAAGAGGCAAUACUUGACAGAAACCUUAAGUGGGAUGACAUAAUUAUAAAGAAAAUCAAUAAGAGGAUGAACUCUUUUAAUGUUUAUAAAACAAUAGUAUGGAAGAAUUUUGAUGCAUCUUGGAGCAAUGGCAACAUAUUUGGGAGUUGUGAGUGACAACGAGCAGAUUACAUAACAAUGGGAGGAUAACAAGGGCCUUAACUGAAAAAACUGGUGAAUGUUCCCAAAUAAACCUCACAGAUGUAGAAGAAACACAAA
rnacentral:lncRNA from 1 species